rnacentral:rRNA from 1 species
UACGAAAGGUGCAAGCGUUACUCGGAAUCACUGGGCGUAAAGGGUGCGUAGGCGGGUCUUUAAGUCAGGGGUGAAAUCCUGGAGCUCAACUCCAGAACUGCCUUUGAUACUGAAGAUCUUGAGUUCGGGAGAGGUGAGUGGAACUGCGAGUGUAGAGGUGAAAUUCGUAGAUAUUCGCAAGAACACCAGUGGCGAAGGCGGCUCACUGGCCCGAUACUGACGCUGAGGCGCGAAAGCGUGGGGAGCAAACAGG